UGACAUCAUCCAAGUCUCUCGUGCGCGGUUGCCAGGGGUUACAGCCUGACAUUUCAGUCGCUAUAAACAAACCUGCAGGAAGCCAAACUGUGAAGAACACCGUGUUUCUGUGGUUUUAUUUAAUUUCGGAAUCAACUCGUCGCUUUAAAGCGAUCAUAAUUAGUGUGAAAGGUCGGAAAGACUUUUCACCUUUAUCAUGGCGGAUUCAGAUGUAGGUACCGCGGAAAAAGCGGACAGCUCUGCAGACCCGUAUGAGAGAGCAGUGAAGUAUCUGGAGAGCCAUAACAUUCUGCAGAUAUUUCAGGAAAUCACAGAGAGCCUGGUUUACGACAGACCUGAUGACCCCCUGCAGUUUAUGUUAGAGCAGUUGCAGAAGAAGAUCCGAGCGCGUGACGAGUCGAACGAAGCUGCAAAAGCUGAAUAGUUUUCUCCGAAAUGGGGUUGUGCAGCAUACAAUGAAAAGUGUGUUAGCCACGUAUUUGCAUACUGGAAUUAUAUUCACUGGGAUGCAGACAUAAUUGCAGCUCCUUUUGUAAAAAAAAAACUAAAAAACAAAAAAACAAAACACACACACACACAACCCCCCCCCCCCCAAAAAAAACAAAAAAAACAACCUGAUUUAUUCCCUAUUUUGCUUUGACAAUCCUGUUUAGUUUCUUUUAUGAGAUAUUAUUUGUAUUCAGACCAGAGCGACUCGUCCGCAGCGUCUUUUGCAAACCUGGCGAGCAGGCCGAAGAGAACUUCCCGAGAGGGAAAAUAUUCUUUAAAACACCCGAGCAGGAUCGGCGAAGUUCUGCAGGUGACGAGGAAAAAUCGAUCCGUCCGAAGAACAUGACGAAAGUAGAUUUGUACUAAGAAACUGGCUUUAGGUUUGCAGUGAAAACAAACACUGGCUCACACACUGUAUUGAGAUUUGCAUGAGGGUAUUUUGGCUGUAGGAGUAAAGGAAGUCUUUGUUUGUAGUAGGUUUACCUUUCAGUGUAUCGCUCUGGUCAUCAUCCUGCGCUUUGAAGCUGCAUCUGCUGUUUCAGCUGCGCCACAUAAAGCCCUGUUAAGUACAUCCUUUCUAUGUGAUUUAAGGGGAGCCAGGAGCGCAGGGCUGAAAAACAAGAGACGUGUCUCCGUCCUGGUGGAUUAAGCACGAAUGAGAAUUGGAUUUCGGUACGUAAGGUUAGAACAGACCGUUUUCUCUCUCUCUCUUUCUUUUUUUUUUUUUUGGUACUCAGAAUAAGCGCUUCUGACAACGUGCUAUUACUCAGGAACAUCAUGAAUCUUAAUAAGGCCUGCCAGGCACCGUUCAUCAAUCAGGUUAUAGGACUCGACCGAAGUUUAUAACGAUCGUAUCAAAGCUGUCGGAUGAACGGAAUCCUGAAAUGAGUUCGCAUUGGUGUUUUACAUUGCAUCGAUUUGUCAGUUUCUACGUAGGCAUGCGCUGAUAAUCAGGAGUAUAGUGAGUAAGGAAUAAAACAUCGUCGACAUCGCCAACGUCGUGCUGUUAUAGGAAAACAAUCAGCGAUGAGGUUACUGUUAGCACCCCGACACUGACUGUUGCCCUACACCAGCACGUCCUGAAGUGCUUUAUUCCUCUUAUACCACAGUACUAACUGUUAUACUAAGCAAACGAUCAUACAACGUUUUACUGAUGGAAGAACGACACGUCAUACUUUUUAUCCAUUUGUAGUUACACGUAAUGUGAAACAAGCUAGUUCCUGUUAUCACCUAGCAGCUAUAAACGGUCGUUCUUUCACCAGCCUCUCUCUCUCUCACUCUCUCAAUCUCUCUUUCUCUCUCUCUCCGAGUUACCAAGAAAGCGCAAAGAAGUGUAAACGCCUCAGUCCUGAAGAUAUCACAAAAAACAUACAGCGUUACCUUUGAGUGCUGACACUGGAGACUCCUUCCGUGAAUGUUAAACAAACCGUCACCGUAUCAGCAAUUACACACUUUUAAAAAAAAAAAAAAAAAAAAAAUCCCGUUUACAGGAAGCGUCCCUGUGAACGAGGGGAACGAUAACGUAUCGGAACGAGCGCGUCGAUAUUAAUAUAAAGCAGCGACUUGCAGCUGCGCUACUGUCAGAGCCGCUGUUACGGAAACUUCAUCAACACAAAUCAAUCCCAGCUGAAUUCAGCAGUGCUGUGGGAACACAUUGAGUUAUUUAUCAUGAACAAUAUUGUUAUAAUAAUAAUAAUAAUCAAAUAAAAAAAAGAAGCCUCCCUGCAAUUGCAGUCUAAAGUUUGUCAUUUUGGGCAAAUCUUCAAAAGCUCGACUCCUCGGACUUUCACAACAGAUGUCCUCUACGACGAUACUUCCCUAUGCAGCUGCUUUUAAAUUCCACUACUUAAAAUCAAACAGCGUGGAACACAUGCACAUUUCAUACAGUAAAUAUUAAGUAUAUUUAUUUGUGUUGUUUACAGUGGAUACGUAUAAUAAAUCCAGUUUAAGAAAUAAAACUUUUUUUUUUUAAAUUACACAGUUAGUGUUCUUUGGUUACAGUUAUUGACAACAUAAACAUUUCUUUCUUUUUGUCUCCUUACAGGAACAUAUAGAAUGUACAUUUGUGCUUCAUGUCUUUCUGUGAAACAUCCCAUAUGUUUAAUACUGUAUUAUCAACACGCCCUCGUCGACUUACAGCACAAGAGAGCACAUUUUUAAACACGGCCUCGUCGACUUACAGCACAAGAGAGCACAUUUUUAAACACGGCCUCUGCGUUUUCCUCACCAAUUUGUACGCUCUGUGCCAAUUAGCUGAUUCCAUAAGAUUCGAUAUUCCCAUGCUGACACCAAUCUCAACAAACUUUUGGGAGGUCGGACGGUCGGGGGUUCAAGCCACAGCACUGCCAAGCUGCCACUGUUGGGUCCUUGAGCAAGGCCCUUAACCCAGUCUGCUCCAGGGGGCGCUGUUUCAUGGCUGACCCUGCGCUCUGACCCCAACUUCCUGACAUGCUGGGGUAUCCGAAUUUCACUGUGCUGUAAUGUACACGUGAUCAAUAAAGACAAAUUAUCAUUAAACUUCACUCGAACUGACAGAGCAAUCCAACGACCCUUACGCUACAAUCCGUCGUACACGGAAAAGCCCGACCUCCGACACGGAAAAGUGCAACGGAGCAGUCAUGCGACUUUCAAUUCCCCGACGGGAACUCGGACAACGUCCACCGAGCCCUAUCUCCAUCAAAUUCCGAGACUAACCAUACAAAUACGAUUACGCUCGGCGCAUCCGUGGGUUUUUUUUUUUCCCCGAGCCGAAGCACCGGAAGGCGUUUCGAUCACGGCUCGUGAGUACGCCGGAUUGCAGCGUUAAGCCGUGAAGCAGACGAGAGCGUGUUCAAAUCAGCGUCAGAACCUUCACUUUCUUCUGCUUUCCAUCAUUCUGUUUCUCUCAAACAAAACAUCUACUUCCAGAUCCCAACCAGCGAAUUCAAAGCAAGGCUUAUCCCAGCAAAACUCGUAUUUUUAUACACUGUAACAAAGCAAAAUGUGUGUCCUUACUAUAAACUACUAUAGCAAUUUCCCCAGGAUCUACAUCUGCAGCUGUAACGAGUCGUUUUUAUACAACAGUGACGUUCUCAACACUGAGAAUAUGAGACACAAACUGCAUAAAUAAAU